AGAGAUGAGAAUGUGCCUUCGGGAACCGUGAGACAGGUGCUGCAUGGCUGUCGUCAGCUCGUGUUGUGAAAUGUUGGGUUAAGUCCCGCAACGAGCGCAACCCUUAUCCUUUGUUGCCAGCGGUCCGGCCGGGAACUCAAAGGAGACUGCCAGUGAUAAACUGGAGGAAGGUGGGGAUGACGUCAAGUCAUCAUGGCCCUUACGACCAGGGCUACACACGUGCUACAAUGGCGCAUACAAAGAGAAGCGACCUCGCGAGAGCAAGCGGACCUCAUAAAGUGCGUCGUAGUCCGGAUUGGAGUCUGCAACUCGACUCCAUGAAGUCGGAAUCGCUAGUAAUCGUGGAUCAGAAUGCCACGGUGAAUACGUUCCCGGGCCUU
rnacentral:rRNA from 1 species